rnacentral:rRNA from 1 species
AUGUACGACCGACAGGAGAAGGGAAAAGUGCAGGGAGCUUGGAGGUUUAUUUUACAAGGAAGAAAGGAGAGCAAUGCUGUUUUAGUUGUUGUCAGUGACGAGUUGAGAGUUUUUAUCCCAGCAAUAUUUGUACCAAGUUUUGCAAACUUACUUCCAUCAAGUCAUGCUGGACAUGAACUCCACAUGAAUCACCCUCCUUUGCAACAUAAAAAAGCAUCGAGCCCCUCUACGGAAGCCACGCCUGAAUUGCAAAUUCUGGUGCGAAAUUAUCUCACUGGAAGGCUCCAAUCUUGCCAUUCUACCAACUUCGCUGGGACGCCGACCACCCACGCUUCACCUGAGAAAAUGAACCACAACGAUGAAUGA